rnacentral:snRNA from 1 species
AUACUUACUUACUGAGGCGAUUCCUCAGGGGCGAGGGCCUUCCAUUGCACUUAGGUGGGCUUGGCCUCCUCCAUUAUUCCAAAUGUGGAUAACUGGAUAGUAUCAUUUCUGGAUCUGCGUGUGCGCUAAUCUCC